rnacentral:lncRNA from 10 species
AGGGUCUUGCUCUGUUGCCCAGACUGGAGUGCAGUGGUAUGAUCACAGAUAACUGUAGCCUCCACCUCCUGGGCUCAAGUGAUCUUCCCAUCUUAGCCUCCCAAAGAGCUGGGACUACAGGCGCAUACCACCACACCUAGCUAAUUUUUGUAUUUUUUUUUUUUUGCAAAGACGAGGUUUUGCCAUGUAGCCUAGGCUUGUCUUGAACUCCUAAGCUCAUACAGCCCUCCCGCCUUGGCCUCUCAAAGUGCUGGGAUUACAGGUGUGGGCCACUGUGCCCAGCCACAAUUGCCUUUCAAGAAGAGGUCCCAUUCCACAUAUAUGCUAAAGGUGGAGCCACUGGAAUCUAUGGAUGGAUCAAACGUGGAGUAUGAAAGAGACGAGUGAAAGUUGAUCAUGAGGGCACAGUCCUACUUGCUACUGUGAAGCAAAAUGAACACAGAUGGAAACAGAAGGACAUGAAGCUGGAGACACAGACAAAGUUUACAUCAUGAGGAAAUCUGUACGCAAGAAAUCUCUUCUUCAUGCCAAGGGCAAUGUGGAGACAUUGAAAGGCUGCAAGCAGAGGGAUGCUGAGUUGAAGAUGAGACAGCGUGCAGUGGAACCAGUAGAAAUUCUUACCUAAUAUAACAGUUAGGGUGAAAUGAGUCCUGAACUAAGACAAGCCCAGCAGGAAUGAAUAGGGUCAGAGAUGUGUGAGUGAAAGAAAUGUUGAUGUGUUGCUAUGAAUUGUUGGUUUCUUGAAUGAGAAGGGUGAGGGAAUGGAGAAAUCUAGAUGGAGCCCCAAGUCUCUGCCUUGAAAGCCAUGGCAGAGAUGCCCAGUUACCAAGCCUUCCCCAUUUUCAUCCAAAAUACAGCUACCAAGGGACCACCCUUAAAAAAAAAACAAAAAUCCUGGGUUCCUAAUGAUCUCAUGCAGCCAUGGUGCUAACCCUGGACAGCUGAAGCAGCUACCGAAGAACGAAAAGAUUGGGGAAGGAGCUACUACUAUAAUUUUCCUAACACAUAGAGAAAAUUAAGAAGAAUCCUACAAAGGACCAUUUUCUUCCCUCUGGUCUGAGGUUGAGCAAUAUGUAUUAUUUUCUCUGGGUUUUCACCAUUUACUACAGACUACAAACACAGAACCAAAGAAUUUAGGGUACACUUUCAAAUCACUCUCAUCUGCCAGGGGGAAAUUAAAUGACGCAGAAUUGCCUCUAGUCACUAAUACAACAGUCCAGGAUGAAAAUCUUCUCUGUGGCUACAGCCUGGUCCUUAUUUCCACCACUCGCCUUCAUCCAUCCCCAGGCUGCACCAAGCAGUCUUAACGUAUGCCCAUACCAGCCACUUAUAAGUUGCUUAGCCCUUUUACAUACAUUUCAUCCUAGCUGCCCCUUCAAAGAGUAUCUAUGGGUGUGCUGGUCAUGGUGGCUCACACCUGUAAUCAUAGCACUUUGGGAGGCAAAGGCAGAAGGAUUGCUUCAGCCAAGGAGUUCAAGACCAGCCUGGGUGACAUAAUG